UUUGAUCCUGGCUCAGAACGAACGUUGGCGGCGUGGAUGAGGCAUGCAAGUCGAACGUGAAAGCCUUCGGGUGAGUAGCGUGGCGGACGGGUGAGUAACACGUAAUCAAGCUACCUGCCAGACGGGGAUAACUUCGGGAAACCGGAGACAAGACCCGAUGGUCUCACGGCAUCGCAUGUUGCUGUGUGUAAAUGGACGGGACCCUCCGGGGCCGUCUGCUGGCAGAGGUGAUUGCGGCCCAUCAGCUUGUUGGUAGGGUAAUGGCCUACCAAGGCUACGACGGGUAGCCGGCCUAAGAGGGUGGUCGGUCACACUGGGACUGAGACACUGCCCAGACUCCUACGGGAGGCUGCAGUCGAGAAUCUUCCGCAAUGGACGAAAGUCUGACGGAGCGACGCCGCGUGGAGGACGAAGGCCCUCGGGUUGUAAACUCCUGUCACGAGUUAAGAAGUGUAGUGUGUGAACAGCAUGCUGCAUUGACGAAGGCUCGAGAGGAAGCACUGGCUAACUCUGUGCCAGCAGCCGCGGUAAUACAGAGAGUGCGAACGUUGUUCGGAAUUACUGGGCUUAAAGCGUACGUAGGCGGCGCAACAAGUGUCGGGUGAAAUCCCACGGCUCACCCGUGGAACUGCCCGGCAAACUGUUGUGCUAGAGUGUGGUAGGGGAGAACAGAACUCAUGGUGGAGCGGUGAAAUGCGUAGAUAUCAUGAGGAAUACCGGUGGCGAAGGCGGUUCUCUGGUCCACAACUGACGCUGAGGUACGAAAGCUAGGGUAGCGAACGGGAUUAGAUACCCCGGUAGUCCUAGCCGUAAACGAUGAGCACUAGGCUGAGGGAACUUCCACAUUCUCUCGGCCGCAGGGAAACCAUUAAGUGCUCCGCCUGGGGAGUAUGGUCGCAAGGCUGA
rnacentral:rRNA from 1 species